rnacentral:rRNA from 1 species
CGGUUGAUCCUGCCGGACACCACUGCUAUCGGGGUGGGACUAAGCCAUGCAAGUCGAAGGUCCCCGGCUCCGGGGGCCUGGCAGACGGCUCAGUAACACGUGGCCAACCUGCCCUCGGGAGGGGGAUAACCCCGGGAAACUGGGGUUAAACCCCCAUAGGCGAUGGGCUCUGGAAGGACCCAUCGCUGAAAGUGGUGCGCGGGGAUGCUCCGUGCACCAGCCCGAGGAUGGGGCUGCGGCCCAUCAUGGUUGUUGGCGGGGUAACGGCCCGCCAAGCCUAUAACGGGUACGGGCCCUGGGAGGGGGAGCCCGGAGAUGGGCUCUGAGACAAGAGCCCAGGCCCUACGGGGCGCAGCAGGCGCGAAACCUCCGCAAUACACGAAAGUGUGACGGGGCCAUCCCGAGUGCCGUCCGCUGAGGACGGCUUUUCCCCAGUGUACACAGCUGGGGGAAUAAGGAGAGGGCAAGCCUGGUGUCAGCCGCCGCGGUAAUACCAGCUCUCCGAGUGGUGGGGACGCUUAUUGGGCCUAAAGCAUCCGUAGCCGGCUGGGCAAGUCCUCCGUUAAAUCCAACGAUUCAAUCGUUGGACUGCGGGGGGUACUGUCCAGCUUGGGGGCGGGAGAGGCCGACGGUAUUCCCGGGGUAGGGGUGAAAU